rnacentral:lncRNA from 10 species
GAACUCUGUGACUCCCCUAAAACUUCCAAGAAGUGAGCAAUUGCCACAAAAGGCUGCUUACUUUAUGCAUCUCAUUUUCUGGAUGCAGUAAUAUGACGAGUUUCCAUUGGUUGCCUGAGGGUCAGUUUCCUGAGGAAGGAAUUCAGCCUUCUUCCCAUUCAGAAGAUGAGGCUUUGACUGGAACCAAUGUUCAAGAUUUAACAGGAGUUGAUUCCUUUUUCAUAUCCAGGAGUGAAAGCUCUGACUUAACAGCACAAAGACAUUAAAAGCAAUAAAAAAUUACACGGAUAUAAAAACCCUAAUUCUUUUCAAUCUCAGUUUUUUGAAGCAAUUAAAAAACCAAUAGGAAUUAUCUUGAUAAAAUGUAAAAUGUUUCUUAUACCAGUUACCAAAAAGCAAAGAAAUACCUUCUGUAAUGUGAUGAUUUCUCCUUAUGGCUAGCUUCUUUAGAUUUGCCAUAAGUCAAACCUGAUGAACAACUUAGACAUAAAUUGAAAGUUAAACCUGAUGAACAUUUUAGCCAUACCAAGAAAAGUCAAGAGUAUAGAAUCAAGUUAUACCUAAGGAAAACACAGCUUUCCUAGACCUUCAAGAUAGACAGUUUAGUAUCAGGCCACAAUAGCAGUUAGAACCAGCGGAAUAAAGUUACAGGAGGUGAGAAAAAAAUUGAAUGACUCAGGCCUUUUCAAGGGGAGAAAAAAAAGGCCAAAGCAGCAAGACACAAUAGAGAUGCACUUCUGAAAUAUAAAUCAGAGAAGUUUUCAGAAAGAGAUUAUAGAAUCAAAAUGAAAACCUUUUGUAAUUUUAUUAAGAACAAUAAAAAUUUUAGGUAAACCUUGUUUUAAC